GCGUAACAAGUAACAAGUGAAGUUCUUACGAAACGUUACCGCACCGCCGCAGCUUCUAUUGAGCUGUUAGCUGGAAUGACAGCAAAGUAAUUACACACAUACGCUGCGUUUUCUCGCUCAAGCACGGCACUCCGUCGUGCGUGGCUUAUAUUCUCAGUGCUUUUGUAGAAGUCGCGGGGCGCUUUGUUUUUUUUUUUUUUUUUUGUUGCUGGGUGUACGUCGGAGAGACUUUCUCGCGUAUGCUGCGCUCGUGCUGAGUCAGUCGUGACGUAUUAUUUCUCGCGCCUUAUGGCGCUCUACCUUCAAAUAAUAUCACUGAUUUUCCCGAGGGAACAGUGGGGGCCUAGUAGAGACCGGGCUUGCUCUCUUGGAGCAGUAUCUUCGCGCAUGCCCGGCUCUUUUGUUGUUUCCGGUGUACAAUCUGUUUCGCACUUAGGGGAAAACUCGGAGCGCCUUGCAUCGCGAUGCGGCGAGCGCUUGAGUCAGGCGACGGCAGCAGCGCGCGCAGGCGUAGGUGCUCGAGUGGCGGGGUCUUGAGCGGCGUCGUCUGCUACGGCGACGCGCGCUGGCCGCAUUGUCAGGAAGCGUGCUACUGUCAGGGGCAGUGCGCCGAUGUCAUCGUUACUGCGUGAAAUGAGCCGGUAUUCUUUACUAAGCGUUGUGCGACGCCCCCUGAUGCGCCUCGAUGACAAUCAGGGACGCCAUUUCAGACCCAGCAAAUUUGGAUGUCAGCAGAAUAAAAGUCUUGCUGGAGGCAACGCUGGAAGCUCGGCGGAAAAGCCCGGAGAAUGAACUUCCUGUGUACUUUCUAAACCCAGACGUGCUUGCACUUGAGGCCGAACUGAGGUUUGAAGCUUCUUAUGAAGACAUGCUAGCCAAGCUUCAACAUAUUCGAAAGAUGCUGGGUC